rnacentral:rRNA from 15 species
CCUGGCGGCUUUAGCGCGGUGGUCCCACCUGACCCCAUGCCGAACUCAGAAGUGAAACGCCGUAGCGGU